GCAAACUUGGUCAUUUAGAGGAAGUAAAAGUCGUAACAAGGUUUCCGUAGGUGAACCUGCGGAAGGAUCAUUAUUGAAUAAAUCUGAUGGGUUGUAGCUGGCUCUCUUGGGAGCAUGUGCACGCCUGUCGUCUUUAUUUCUCCACCUGUGCACUUCUUGUAGAUCUGGAUAAAAUUCUCCGGGGUCACUCGGGUUGGCGAACUGCUGGUUUUGCAAUCAGCUGUUUGUAAAUUUCCAGGUCUAUGUUUUCAUACACCCAUUGUAUAAUAAAGAAUGUGUUUUGGGCUUUAUGCCUAUAAAGUUAAUACAACUUUCAGCAACGGAUCUCUUGGCUCUCGCAUCGAUGAAGAACGCAGC
rnacentral:misc_RNA from 1 species